AGUGGCUAACCCCUAGCCACCCUUACAACGGACAAAACAUCCCAUGGCUAGACAGCAGAUGAUCUGGGCAGGGACAGGCAGGGGACCAGCACACCGCAGAGUCAUCUCCAUAAAGCCAUGCUGUGGACCUGUGCCCUCUUCCACCUGGCCAUCUGCUGGGCAGGGAUCUCUUUGGAUAUGAUUUUUGGAAUCAGAGACCAAAACUCUGACUGUCCUCCUUGGGGAGCCUGCCACCUUCCGUUGCAAUGUAACUGGAGGGAACUGGAAGAACUAUCAGAUGAGUUGGUAUAAGAGGAAUGAGAAUAACGUCUUAAC
ensembl:lncRNA